GAGUGGGCGAGUGUGUGAGUGGGUGAGUUGGUGAGAGUGAGUGAGUGAGUGGUUCAUCAGGCUGACAGAGAGUUUGACUACACUCACGUACCAAGAUGGCUUUCUCUGGAACCUGGAAGGUGGAAAAGAAUGAAAAUUAUGAAAAAUUCCUAGAGGCGAUGGGUGUGAACGUAGUGAAACGUGCUGCAGCCACGGUGGACAAUCUGUGUCUC